AACUACACCUGAGUGUGCAUGAUAGUUAUAGAGCAACUCAUACAUGGCUCCUCCUACUCCAAGAAGAGUUGUAACUGUGGACCUAAAGAAGAAACCAGGGGAGCAGAUGCAACCCCUUCACAACCGUUGGCAUCCAGAGAUACCACCGGUGGCUGAGGUCAAGUCGGGUGAGGUAUUCACAAUAGAGAUGCUAGAUUGGACAGGAGGUGCAAUCAAAGAUGACAAUUCUGCUGUUGAUAUAAAAAUUUUAGACCUAUCAAUUGUAAGUACAAAGCUUCUACUUUAACCACAGCUUACGCCGCUACAACUCUCCCCAAACAAGUGAUUUUAAAACAGUUUGAACUUAAUAUGGCAAGUAAAACAGGAAUGACUAACUAGGUACUACAUCAAGAGAAAAUCCGUCCACCGUAUAUUAAUUUCCUUUCAUAUGAUCGAAUAUGUACCCGAAAGUGUACUUCGCCACUUGGAACGAUUUUACAGAUUUGAUCCCGCCUAUAAAUUUUGCAUCUUGAAACUGAUGUUCUCUAUGAGAGACAACAGUGCAAGAAUUCUGUACCAGCUACUUACUAGUUAUGGCUCUUUGAGAUCUGGCUCAGGUACACUAUCUUAGUGGACCAAUCAAGGUCACUGACGCAGAUGGGAUUCCAGCCAAGCCAGGUGAUCUUCUUGCAGUUGAAAUUUGCAACUUGGGUCCCCUUCCUGGCGAUGAAUGGGGCUUCACUGCAAUAUACGAUAGAGAGAAUGGCGGAGGAUUUCUGACUGACCAUUUUCCAAAUGCAACUAAAGCUAUUUGGUACUUUGAAGGAAUAUAUGCUUACUCUCCUCAUAUACCAGGUAUGUCGUGCUUGAGUUUUAUUUGUCGGCAAGACCAGCACGGGCAUGUAUUCUGAUCAUGACUGAUUUCCGGUUUGAUGGGGCACUUACCGAGCAUAGGAGUAAGGUUUCCAGGUUUAACCCACCCUGGAGUAAUAGGAACAGCGCCCUCCAUGGAACUCCUUACUAUAUGGAAUGAAAGAGAGAGAGCCCUUGAAGAAACUGGUCUUCAUUCUCUGAAAUUAUGUGAGGUAUUGCAUGCACGACCACUGGCAAACUUACCAUCAACCAAAGGCUGCGUUCUUGGCAAGGUAUGACUCAAUGGAUAUAUAACCAACGUAAACGUUAGGUCCCAUAAAGUUUUAGCCCCAGUUAAAGAAGUCUGCUUUGCUCUGAUGUAAUUUCUAGUGUGUUGAAAAAUUUAAGGUCCAUUCUCUUGCUAGUCAGCACUAAAUAAAAUGAGAACUAAAUAGCUUCGUAUAGCAAAGAACUAAUCUGGCUCCCCAUUGCAUGUAGAUUCAAGACGGAACACCUGAAUGGGAAAAGAUUGCUCGGGAAGCAGCAAGGACUGUUCCUGGAAGAGAAAAUGGAGGGAAUUGUGACAUCAAAAACCUCAGCAGAGGUUCAAAAGUUUACCUUCCAGUCUUCGUAGAAGGAGCAAAUCUCAGUACUGGAGAUAUGCACUUCUCCCAAGGUGAUGGGGAGGUGGCAUUCUGCGGGGCAAUUGAGAUGAGUGGUUUUCUAGAACUCAAGUACUUUCAUGCUCGAUCUCAAUAAUUAGUCUUUCCUGCUUAAAAUCCAGGCAUCAAACUUGAGACUUUUAGAGAAUACUUUGUCCAAUACGGUUAAGAAGGGAUUUUAGAAGAAGUUGAUACAAAUUGAAUUCGGGUGCUUUUUGUUGGGGUGGUGGGGGGAGAUGCUUCUUGGGACAAGAAAACUCGAGACCGUAGCUUGAGUCCCAUUUCAUGACUUCUGUUUUGCCAUCAUCGAAACUACGACAGAUAAAAAUUAUUACAGUUUGACAGUCUUAAAGCAAAUAAGAACCAUACUUGAUAACAUUUAGAUAAUAACUGCUCAUUUCCAAUUAACUAAGUGCAUAUCUAAGAGACGGAGAGUGAGAGAUUAAGGUGAAAACAUCCAUUAACAGCUUACUCAAUGGAUUGAUUAUCAUUAUUAAUCAAAUAUUGGCAGCAAACUCGUGACUAAUGAAACACACAUAAAUAGAAUUGUUGGGUGAUAUAUAUCAUAAACUGCAGUAAUUGCCAGACAAGAAAUUCUAUAUUGUGUUCAGAAAUUAGGGUUUGUUUGGACAGUGUGUUUGUCACAAAUUUUACUGUAGAAUACUGUUAGUUGUUUUAGGAAAAUGUUCGUAUUUGUCCAAAACACUCAAAAGCACCUAUUUUUCUACAAAACUCCCUAGAUCCUCCACCUGCCAUUCUGCCACCCACCACCAUCCACUACCUCUGCCAUUGAUCCCCUAUUUAAUGUUUUUUUUUUUUUCCCAAAACUUGUGUCUGUUUCAGAGUUUUCAGUAGAUUGUGUAUUAGACAAAUUUUGUCUUUUUAAAACAGGGUGAUAACACCUGUCAAACAGACCCUAGAUUUAACAAAAAGCAUUCCCCUCCUUUAAGCGGAAAGGGCAAGGGAGCAGCAAUAACAAGAAAAGAAGUUAAAGAAAUAGAACUAUAGCAAAUUAAAAUUUGAAGAACCCUAGUGUAAACACAAUAGAGGAGAUCUACACUAAAUAGCACCGGAACACUCGAGUCGAUAUUCCUGAAAGUUGUCCAAAGAUCCAAUAUGUUACUGCAUGCUUUGGACACCUUAGACAAUCUUCAAACCCUCCAAACAAUCGAUAAUGGCCAUGCAGUUAUGUAUGUUUUUCCUCUUUCUCCAAAUUUAUCUAGCAUCUUGUUAAUUGCUAUCAGAUGUGAGAUCAUAAGAGAUGGCAUGAAACAGUACCUCACUCCUAUGGGGCCUACUCCCCUGCAUGUUAAUCCUAUAUUUGAGAUCGGCCCUGUUGAACCAAGGUUUUCUGAAUGGUUGGUGUUUGAGGGCAUCAGCGUGGAUGAAAGUGGGAGACAACACUUCCUUGAUGCCAGCGUUGCUUAUAAACGAGCAGUGCUGAAUGCAAUUGACUACAUCUCAAAAUUCGGGUACACUAAGGAGCAGGUGAGGUCCUUCAAUAGAAGUUAAUGGGUAACAAGUUUUCAAACUCAGAAAUCAAUAGAAGCUCUAUAAUAUAAGAGUUAUUCAUGCAAUUUCCUACAACAACAGCAUAAUGCAAUGCCUGAUAUUGUACCGCAAUCGUGACCCUAGUGAUAUUGCUUUGCUUAUUAGGUCUACCUUCUACUCUCAUGCUGUCCGUGCGAAGGAAGGAUUUCGGGAAUAGUCGAUUGCCCCAAUGCUCUGGCCACCCUUGCAGUUCCAACUGCUAUUUUUGACCAGGUAAUGAUAGUCCCCCUGAGCUUCUUUUCUAGUGAAGUUGGAAGUGUAAAAAUCAGAUGAAUUAACAGCAAGGCACUAACAAGUAAUCAACAAAAAAAAACCUGUCAUCAACUCCUAAUUUGGAUCAUGAUCUUAGGCUGAUUAUGUUGCCUAGAAAGUGCACAUAGUACAUUGAGCAUUUGUUUUCUGGACCUUACUUCGAUGUCUUAGCCACUAGUCAUAGUUGCAAGUCUUUCAGAACGAAUUUACCUCCGUUCAACCAGCCAAUGUUUCAGCAGCUGGUAGAGAAGUUUGAUUGACUUAAUAUCAAUAUAGAAAUUCCCAUUGAAGAGAUACCCACACCUGACUGAAAAUUCAGACAGCGUAAAAGUGACCAUGGGAGAUACAUUUACAGAAUCAAAGUGUGAAGUACUGGAGCAACCCACUAAUAGCGUGAAUUAUCUUAGGAUGACUUCAAGAAUAAUACCCAAGUGCCACUAGCAGUGUCAUCUUCAUUAAAAUAUACAAGGACUUGGACAUAUAAAAAGUCCUUUUUGUUUUUUUUCCGAACAUGAUAAAUUUUAUUCUACACUUACUCCUACUCUGGACCAAGGGAGGUGGCCCAAGGGGUCCAAAAGGGUCAAUGAGUAAAUUCGAAAGAGACUGAACCACCACUAAUUCAAACGGAUGCCUACAUAUCCACUGGCAAAACCUUUCAAAAAAUUUUGAAUUUUUUAGCAUGUAGGUCAAGGCAUUUAAUCUCUUGACCUAUACCCAAAUAAAAUAGUAAACCUCUCUUAAGAGAGGGCAACUACUCUAAGAGUAGUUGAUUUAGACAUAUACAAAGUGGUGAAGCCAAGAUUUUCAGAAGUGGGAAUCAUGAUGUCAUCCCAGUAAAACAAAGCACGCAUGAUCAAUACCUCAUGGAAACAAGGCUGCAAAGGAAACAAGAAAGAAAGAUGUCAAAAUAAGUCAUCAAUAUCCUAUCCUGGAGUGUGAAAAGCCCUACUCCGCUGAAACUGAGUUAAUUGUUUGCGUGCAGGAUAUCCGUCCCAAAGCCAACAAAGUGCCUGCUGGACCUCGGGUUGUCAG
rnacentral:lncRNA from 1 species